GACGAACGCUGGCGGCGUGCUUAACACAUGCAAGUCGAACGCUGAAGCUUGGUGCUUGCACUGGGUGGAUUAGUGGCGAACGGGUGAGUAACACGUGAGUAACCUGCCCUUGACUCUGGGAUAAGCCUGGGAAACUGGGUCUAAUACCGGAUAGGAACGUCCACCGCAUGGUGGGUGUUGGAAAGAUUUAUCGGUCAUGGAUGGACUCGCGGCCUAUCAGCUUGUUGGUGAGGUAAUGGCUCACCAAGGCGACGACGGGUAGCCGGCCUGAGAGGGUGACCGGCCACACUGGGACUGAGACACGGCCCAGACUCCUACGGGAGGCAGCAGUGGGGAAUAUUGCACAAUGGGCGAAAGCCUGAUGCAGCGACGCCGCGUGAGGGAUGACGGCCUUCGGGUUGUAAACCUCUUUCAGUAGGGAAGAAGCGAAAGUGACGGUACCUGCAGAAGAAGCACCGGCUAACUACGUG
rnacentral:rRNA from 1 species